AAAAAGACAAACCCUGGGUUUCCGUGUCCAAUGUUUGACCGUCCGUUUUAUUUGAAAAAAUUAUGAAAAAAAUUAAAAAGAUAAGUUACGCAUAAAAUAUUAAUUAUGUUUUAUCAUCUAACAACAAUGAAAAUACUAAUUAUAAAAAAUUUCAUAUAAGACGAACAGUCAAACGUUGGGCACGGAAACCUAGGGUUUGUCUUUUU
rnacentral:pre_miRNA from 1 species